AACAAACGCUGGCGGCAUGCCUAACACAUGCAAGUCGAACGAGACCUUCGGGUCUAGUUGCGCACGGGUGCGUAACGCGUGGGAACCUGCCCUUAGGUUCGGAAUAACUCCCCGAAAGGGGUGCUAAUACCGGAUAAUGUCUUCGGACCAAAGAUUUAUCGCCUUUGGAUGGGCCCGCGUUGGAUUAGCUAGUUGGUAGGGUAAAAGCCUACCAAGGCGACGAUCCAUAGCUGGUCUGAGAGGAUGAUCAGCCACACUGGGACUGAGACACGGCCCAGACUCGUACGGGAGGCAGCAGUGGGGAAUAUUGGCCAAUGGGCGAAAGCCUGAUCCAGCAAUGCCGCGUGAGUGAUGAAGGCCUUAGGGUUGUAAAGCUCUUUUACCCGGGAUGAUAAUGACAGUACCGGGAGAAUACGCUCCGGCUAACUCCGUG
rnacentral:rRNA from 1 species